rnacentral:rRNA from 1 species
AUACGGAAGGGGCAAACGUUGUUCGGAUUCACUGGGCGUAAAGCGACCGCAGGCGGUCUAUUAAGUCAGAUGUGAAAGCCGCGCGCUCAACGUGGGAACUGCAUUUGAAACUGAUAGACUAGAGUUCGAGAGGGGAAAAUGGAAUUCCAAGUGUAGAGGUGAAAUUCGUAGAUAUUUGGAGGAACACCAGAGGCGAAGGCGAUUUUCUGGCUCGAUACUGACGCUCAGGGUCGAAAGCGUGGGGAGCAAACAGGAUUAGAAACCCCGGUAGUCC